rnacentral:misc_RNA from 1 species
CCGAGUUUACAACUCCCAAACCCCUGUGAACAUACCUAUAUGUUGCCUCGGCGGAUCAGCCCGCGCCCCGUAAAACGGGACGGCCCGCCGCAGGAUCCACAAACUCUGUUUUUAUUGUAACUUCUGAGUAACUAAACAAAUAAAUCA